rnacentral:rRNA from 1 species
UCUCCUGGAAAACGGGUGGUAAUGCCGGAUGUUCCACAUGAGCGCAUGCGAGUGUGGGAAAGGCUUUUUGCGGCAUGGGAUGGGGUCGCGUCCUAUCAGCUUGUUGGUGGGGUAACGGCCUACCAAGGCGUUGACGGGUAGCCGGCCUGAGAGGGCGACCGGCCACAUUGGGACUGAGAUACGGCCCAGACUCCUACGGGAGGCAGCAGUGGGGAAUAUUGCACAAUGGGCGCAAGCCUGAUGCAGCGACGCCGCGUGCGGGAUGGAGGCCUUCGGGUUGUAAACCGCUUUUGUUCAAGGGCAAGGCACGGUUUUUGGCCGUGUUGAGUGGAUUGUUCGAAUAAGCACCGGCUAACUACGUGCCAGCAGCCGCGGUAAUACGUAGGGUGCAAGCGUUAUCCGGAUUUAUUGGGCGUAAAGGGCUCGUAGGCGGUUCGUCGCGUCCGGUGUGAAAGUCCAUCGCUUAACGGUGGAUCCGCGCCGGGUACGGGCGGGCUUGAGUGCGGUAGGGGAGACUGGAAUUCCCGGUGUAACGGUGGAAUGUGUAGAUAUCGGGAAGAACACCACC